UGCCAAAAUGUAAAUGAAAGGCAGGCAAUGCCAAAUAAAAGCUGAAGUUGAUAAAAACCCUUUCAAAACCCUCUCUCAAGAUAAAAACUAAGUUAAAAAAUGGAGAAAUCCGAAAUCAAGUCAGAUAUUUUAGAUAGCAUGAAAAAUCAAGAGACAAAGGAACUUCGAUGGAUUGAUUUGUUGGUGCUGCCUCAGCAUAGGGAAAAGGAAAAGGACAGGUUGUUUCAAGCUACGAAGUCCGGUGAAUCCCGAGAGGAGAUGCUUCAUACAGGUGUGGAAGGGCUUCACAUCGAACGAGUUAAAUAAGACUUCAAAAUAGACGUGACUAAUGCAAUAAGUAGACAAAUAGCGCGAGAGAAUAAGAGAGAGAGUGGAGAGUAAGUAGCUUUUUUAGCUUGUUUAUUACUGAGGGAGAAGCCCUCUAUUUAUACAACAUUUUUACACAUUAGGCCAACAGAAAUGGCCGACACUAACUUUACACUUGGCCUAUAUUAAUUCGGCCGACACAAAACGACAAA